rnacentral:rRNA from 1 species
GACAGAGGUGCCGAGCGUUAGGCGGAAUCACUGGGCUUAAAGCGUGUGUAGGCGGACCGUUAAGUACCUUGUGAAAUCCCACGGCUCACCCGUGGAACGGCUGGGUAUACUGGCGGUCUUGGGCCACCUAGGGGCAGAUGGAACAGACGGUGGAGCGGUGAAAUGCGUAGAUAUCGUCUGGAACGCCAAAGGUGAAAACAGUCUGCUGGGGGUGUGCCGACGCUGAGACACGAAAGCCAGGGGAGCGAACGGG